rnacentral:rRNA from 1 species
UUGGCGGACGGGUGAGUAACGCGUGGAAAACCUGCCGUAUACUGGGGGAUAACACUAGAAAUAGGUGCUAAUACCGCAUAAGCGCACAGCUUCGCAUGAAGCGGUGUGAAAAACUCUGGUGGUAUACGAUGGUUCCGCGUCUGAUUAGCUAGUUGGUGGGGUAAUGGCCUACCAAGGCAACGAUCAGUAGCCGGCCUGAGAGGGUGAACGGCCACAUUGGGACUGAGACACGGCCCAAACUCCUACGGAAGGCAGCAG